rnacentral:rRNA from 1 species
AUUGAACGCUGGCGGAAUGCUUUACACAUGCAAGUCGAACGGCAGCACGGACUUCGGUCUGGUGGCGAGUGGCGAACGGGUGAGUAAUGUAUCGGAACGUGCCCAGUCGUGGGGGAUAACGUAGUGAAAAUUACGCUAAUACCGCCUACGAUCUAUGGAUGAAAGCGGGGGAUCGGAAGACCUCGCGCGAUUGGAGCGGCCGAUAUCAGAUUAGGUAGUUGGUGGGGUAAAGGCCCACCAAGCCAACGAUCUGUAGCUGGUCUGAGAGGACGACCAGCCACACUGGAACUGAGACACGGUCCAGACUCCUACGGGAGGCAGCAGUGGGGAAUUUUGGACAAUGGGUGAAAGCCUGAUCCAGCCAUUCCGCGUGCAGGAUGAAGGCCCUCGGGUUGUAAACUGCUUUUGUACAGAACGAAAAGGUUUCUACUAAUACUAGGAGCUCAUGACGGUACUGUAAGAAUAAGCACCGGCUAACUACGUGCCAGCAGCCGCCGUAA